CAUACUGUCUGUAUGUCUGUAUGUAUGUGUGCCUGUCUGUUUGUAUGUAUGUAUCUUUGACACAUACAUACAAACAGACAGGCACACAUACAUACAGACAUACA